rnacentral:rRNA from 1 species
CCCUUAGAUGUUCUGGGCAGCACGCGCGCUACAAUGGUCUUCGCAAACGGAUGCAUUCUCGAAGGAGAAUGCCAAUCUUGGAAUCUAUGCCUUGGUCGGGACGGUUGCUUGCAAUUUUUCGACUCGAACCAGGAAUUCCUUGUAAUCGUGAUUCAUCACAUCACGAUGAAUACGUCCCUGCCCUUUGUACACACCGCCCGUCGCUCCUACCGAUCGAAGAGUUAGGUGAAUUGUUUUGAUCGAUAAGAUUUGACUAUGGUCAACUCUCGUUGUGAAAUUCUGUGAAUCUGACUGUUUAGAGGAAGGAAAAGUCGUAACA